GUAAUUUUCCUUGACCACCUGCUUGCUGUAAAAGAACUCUAAAUGGACAAUGUAUUUCCAUAUCCCAAAAAAUGAUGUUUUUUUGGACAUAAGGUGAAGUAUGAAGUUAUGAGGAGAAAGGAACAGAGGACAACCAAACAGAGAAAGUGUAGCCGUAUCUACUAGAGCUGAAGACAUUCAGAUUUAUGAUCCAACAAUUCUACUCUGAAGUGCAGUGGUGUAUAUACUGCAACAAUGUGUACUCGUGUGCACUGAGAACUAGAUAUGAAAAAACCUUACAGAAAUAUACAUAAUAGCAAAAAAAAAA
rnacentral:lncRNA from 1 species